ACCUACGGACAUACCACGUUGAAUACACCGGUUCUCGUCCGAUCACCGAAGUUAAGCAACGUCGGGCCCGGUUAGUACUUGGAUGGGAGAGCGCCUGGGAACACCGGGUGCUGUAGGCG
rnacentral:rRNA from 1 species